rnacentral:sRNA from 1 species
GAACGGAUGCGAAGCAAUCCAAAACAUCUUUCCAGAUCAAACACGCACAUUCCUGGUGCCCAACGAAAGGGUCGUAUGAGGCUAUCGAUUUCGGAAUCCUUUGAAAAUUUGCAAGACGCAAGUGUUUCCACGAAAGAGGCUUUUGAAAUUCGGGU